GUCAGGGUGGCGCAGAGGUAGCGUGCGGGACACGUAACUGUCUCGGGGUCACAGGUUCGAAUCCUGUCCUUGACU
rnacentral:tRNA from 1 species